rnacentral:siRNA from 1 species
AUAUAUCUCCAAUCAUGACCGCCC